AGAGAACGUUGUUCCAGACCCCGUCUACUCAGCAGUGAAGACAGACAGACAGAGAUACAGGUAGAGCUGUAUCUGGAUCCAGGGAAGUAAUGUACAGACUGAGUGACCCUGUUCAUCAGAACGUCAUGGUGGAUGGAAUGAGAUGCUCUCUUCAGCAGCGGUGAACAACCACAACCCUGUCAGUCCAUCUCUUUUCUUCUCCUUUCUCUUAUCUUCUCUCUCCCUCCUUCCCUUUUCACACCAACGGACUUAUCUUUAGACACUGCAGCCUUGACUGUCAUCAACAACAUCAGCAACAGAGAGGUGUGAAGUUUCCACAACAGAGUUAGAGUCAGUUUAUCAUGAGAACAUACAGACACCACUGACUGGAACCAGCUGACAGUAUCAGUUGUAAAAGCUUCAUUACUACAAACAGAAGGAAGGUUGUAGUGUUGUGUCCAUGAUGAAUGAUGUAAAGACUUCAUUACUACUAACAGAAGGAAAGUUGUAGUGUUGUGUCCAUGAUGAAUGAUGUGAAGGCUUCAUUACUACAAACAGAAGGAAGGUUGUAGUGUUAUGUCCAUGAUGAAUGAUGUAAAGGCUUCAAUGUGUUUAAUGUUCUAAUUGUUAAUGUAAAAUUGGAAAUUGCAUUUUACUAUUAUGUCAUUGUGUGUUUAUCUUGAGCAACACCAGUUUAUGGUGCCAACUUGCCAAAUAAAGCUUCCAAGGCAUGGAGGUUC